GUAAUGUCACUAAAGGCCUAAUCCUGGAUUGUGGUUGAUGGUCUCCCAACAGCAAGAGGUUAUGGAGGAGAUCUCAUCUGCAGACAAGGAGGAGAAAAACACAGAAGAAUCCCUUACUUCAAAUGAUAUUAGGGAGAUAUAUAAAAUUUAGGAAACAGUGCAAAAUUUUGUAGAAAAGCACCACCCAAAUGAGGCUGUAACAGUGCAAGAGAUGAAUCUGUUUAACAACAAUGAAAUGUCACAUUUCUGCAAAAUCCUCAAAAGGAGGCAAAAGCAAGUGUCACUAGAUAGGUUCCUUGUUAAAGUUGCACAAAAAUUAAAAGAUUCUAUUGAUCCAGUAGAUAGCAGUGAUUCCAUCAGUGACAGUGAACAUCAUCCUGCAUAAUAACCCUCCUCUCUCUUGUCUCCCUCACAUCAGCCAUUAAAGUUUUCAAAGCACUAGGGAUUGAACUCAGGACCUUGCACUUGGCAGGCAGGCACAAUGCCACUGAGCUACAUCCCCAGCAUGACUUCCUAGGAUACAGAGAAGUGACCAUGCAGCUGAGUGGAUGGGCCAGUAACAACCUGAAGUCCUGUUGAGCCACUUCAUCAUCUCAGCAGCAUUAGACGUGUCGCGAGCUGUGCGGGGACCACCUGCCCGGGGCCUACCUGCCUGGGUGUUACUCUUCAGCUGCCCGGGGACCCAGGGCCUGCCUUCCUGGGCACCACUCUUCUUCAGCUUCCUGGGACCUGUCUGCCUCCAUGCCACUCUUCUGCCCAGCCAGCCUCCCUGCCAUUAGCAGUGGGGCCAACAGCAAGAGCCACAGCCAGAUCCAGACAAUGGCAGAGAGCAGAAAGACCAUUGUUCUGAGCUCAGGAAGAUGGCAGAGUGGUGAGCAACAGAGAGAAGGCCUCUCUCAGGACUGUGGCUGAGAAUUGAAGCCCACUGGGAGAGGGAAGAUAGCCACUGCAAUAAAGACCCAGUGGACUUCAGUGGUUG
rnacentral:lncRNA from 1 species